GUCCAUGCGGCAAAUAAUUUCUGCCAGUUUAUUAGUUUUCCAGUUUUUACUUUAUGGUGUUUCCUGUCAUACAAAAAUUUAUCAGUAUGUAAUUCAAUGUAUUGGUCCUUUUAUUGCCUCUGGAUUCUGAGUCAUGGUUAGACCUUUCCUACACCCAGCUUAACAAGAAAUCCACCUGCAUCUUCUCCCACUACUUGUGUGCUUCCAUUUUUUACAUCCUCAUCUAUGUGGAUUUCAUUCUUGUGUGUGGAGUGAGAAAUGGAUCUAGCCUUUGUCUUUUUCCAAACGGCAGCGAUCCAAGUACGUCCCAGCACAUUUUCUAAAGAAAUUCAUCUUUUCCGGUGAUCUGAGAUGACACCUUGUCAGGCAGGCAGCUUCCGCAGCUACUUGGGGCUAAUUCUGCGUUUUCUUCUGUCCCCCUAUUUAUUUAUGUGCCUCCCCGACACGGUCUCACGAGGCUUGAUGGGGAGGGUAAUGCUGGUUGGCUUAGUCCCCCUCAGAGUUCUUCCUUGUUUUCUGGCUAUUUUUGUUUUUCCAGAUGAAUUGCAAGAUUAACUUGCUUAAUUCCAUAAGAUAGCUACUAUUUUUACUGGUACUUCUUUGAAUUCAUAGUUAGGAAGACCUGACAUCCUUGUGAGGCUGGGCCAUCCGUCCAAAAGGAGCGCUGUCUUUCCACUUGCUCAUGUCACGUUCACGUCUUCCUAGACCGCUUUUCGCUGUAGAGGGUCACGUGUUUCUGGUGAAAUUUAUUCCUGCGCAAACAUUGCUGCAGUUUUUCCCUACUGCCUUUUGUUCAUCGUUCACACAUAGGAAGACUAUUAUUGGCUUUUAAUGUUAAUACUGUGUCCUACUACGUGACUGAGCUUUUGGUUUUAUUUAUUUAUUUAUUUAUUUUUGCUUUUCAGGGCCACACUUGUGCCAUAUAGAGAUUCCCAGGCUAGGGGUCAAAUCAGGGCUGCAGCUGCCGGCCUACGCCACCGCCACAGCCGCACGGGAUCUGAGCUGCAUCUGCGACUGACACCACAGCUCACGGCAAUGCCGGAUCCUUAACCCACUGAGCAAGGUCAGGGAUUGAACUCGCAUCGUCAUGGAUGCUAGUCAGGUUCGUAAGCCACUGAGCUACAACGGGAACUCCUGAAUGAAUUCUCUUUACAAAAUCGAUCCUCUAAGGUUUUCCAAAAAUGGUCUCGUGCCAACUGCAAAUGCAGAUGGUUUGACGUCUUCUUCGCCAGCUGUUAUGCUCUGAUUGAUUCCUUCUGUCUGGCAGGUGCUGGCAGAGGGAGGCGGUGGGCAUCCGCGCCUUGCUCCUGCUCUUGGUGGAAACGCCCCUUCCUAGGUCAGGCCCUGGCUUUAGGACCAAGUGUCUCGGCUCAGAGGGCUGUAAACAGUGUGAACGAACUGAAUGCCACCGAAGCGUACCCUUUAAAAUGGCCGAAAUGGCAUGUCCUGUGUAUAUUUGACAACUUUUCCAAAACUAGUUUCUUUUGGAGUUCUCACUGUGGUGCGGUGGAUUAGGAAUCCAACUCCAGAAGCUCAGGUCACUAUGAGGGCUCAGGUUCGCUCCCUGGCCCAGCGCAGUGGGUUAAAAGAAACCAGUGUUGGAGUUCCCGUUGUGGCGCAGUGGUUAACGAAUCCAACUAGGAACCAUGAGGUUGCGAGUUCGAUCCCUGGCCUUGCUCAGUGGGUUAAGGAUCUGGCGUUGCUCGAGGCCAGGGAUGGAACCCACAUCCUCAUGGAUACUAGUUGGGUCCUUAAUCCGCCAAGCCACAAUGGGAGCUCCCACGUCCACUUAUUUUUAAUGUCCUGUGGUUCCCACUGAGCCACAUACAGUGAAGGGCUUUCCAGCCACCACCCACUGGAGAAAAGUCUGCUCCCACCUGCGCUGGUGGCUUUGGGGUCUUUGUUAACGUUCACGGCAUAUGCUUCACACCAGGGCUCAAAAGCAGCAGGGCGCUGACCACAGGGCGCUGGGAAACCCGACCUGACCAGGCCGGGUUCCCUGGGCCCAGGGCCAGCAUGGGGGGCCCCGAUACGUCGGCUCUUGGGGUCAGAUGAAGCAACCUGGCAAGUUGUGGUAAGUUCAUCACGUGAUCCUAAGUCACGGGAUCCUAAGUCAGUCCUGUUUGCCGUGGGGCACAAGCCACGUGUGCCAACAAGGAGGCAGCACGGCUGUGAUGGCCCCAGAACCGCUUCGCUGGGAUGGUCACUGUCGUUGGAACAGUUCACACAAGGAGCAGGUGUUCUGAGAGGGGGGCCAGGACCGUCGCCUCAGAGCCUGUUGGUUUCUCUGGCUGAUGGUCUGUCUGAACCGGCGACUUCAGAGAAGGCUGAUCCAGGAGAGGCUUGGCCAGAACCGCAGGCUUCCCACCUCGCUGGGCCCCUCACCUGCUCCCCCUCGACGCCUCCCCGCUCCCGAGGGGCCAGCGAGAGGAAAGCGAAACACCCAGAGGAGGCGAGGACACAGCUUCACUGUUUCAGUUCAUUUCUUUGCUGUGGAACCGGAACCAGCAAAACAGAACAUCAAAGCUCAGGCUGGUGAUUUUGCGCCUCGAAAUCUGGCAGAUCCCCCUGGGCCUCAGCCGGCACGGCUUUGCUUCCAUUUCAAGGGUGAGAAGCCAGGCUUGGGGGGAACCUCAGCGGAUUCUGAUCCAGGACUCGGCCUCUGCGCACGUUCCCCCCUCCCCCCUCCCCCCUCGGCUCGUCGCUGCCCGACGUCAGACGGGCUCGUCAGGGCCUCAGUCCCACGUGUCUGCCGCCCCUUCCUGAACCAGCCCUUUCGGGGGAGGGGGUACAGAGAAAACCUUUCCAAACACAGCAGGAGAGCCCAAAUCAUAAAAAGAUGGAUAAACGUGACUGCAGAAAAGCUUGUAUUAAACACAGAGGAUAGGCGCUCCUGCUGAGGCGCAGGGGUAACAAGCCCGACUAGCACCCAGGAUGACACAGGUUCAAUCUCUGGCCUCACUCAGUGGGUUAAGGAUCCAGUGUUACUGUGAGCUGUGGUGUAGGUCACAGACAUGGCUCGGAUCCCGUGUGGCUGUGGCUGUGGUGCAGGCUGGCAGCUGAAGCUCUGAUUUAACCCCUAGCCUGGGAACCUCCUUCAUAUGCCACAGGUGCAGCCACAAAAAAAAGAAAAAAAGAAAAAAAGAAAACAGAAAAAGAAGGCAUCUAGAAAACCAAAAGCCAACCUGGAAAACAUGCGCAGUUCACACCACAGAGGAAAGGUCACCCUCAGGCGGCCCCACCGCCCCAGGACACACCGCAAGCAACGGGCCAAGGCCAUCUACCCCCAGGCAGUUGUGACAGGAGGCCGCCUCCCUGGCUCAGGACAAAGGUGACUCCCUGCGGGGCACGGGGAGCACGGGGCCCAGAAGCUCGACAGCACAGGUCUGAGGCUGGCACCCGCAGGGAUGCUCUGGCCGCAGCGCAGGGAGGGGAGGUCGGACUCAGCCCGACUCCCUCUCAAGAUGGAAAGGAAUUCGGAGGCCUGGCAGCUCGAAGGGGGGUCAGGGCCCCCUGCCCAGGGCCCCCGCCUGGACACCAACCUGUGGGUGAAACCCUGCAAGGGGAACUUUUGAAAAAGAACAAGUCCCAGCCCCGGGGCCAACCCGGCACGGCAGGGGGGCCCUUCCUGACCACGCGGGAGGCCAGCUCGGACCCGGCCCGGCGAGCUCAGAACCGGACCCAAGGGGUUGGGGCUUCACUGCCUGCUGGAGGGGGCAAGACCCUCUUCACAGGAAGAUGCUAGAACUUCAGCGCUCAACCAUGAGAACACCACAGGAUCAGGCGCCCAAUAAACAACUUUCUAGACACACUCAGUAGCAGGAAAAUAGGCACCACAAAGCAGAAGAUGAAUCGGCAGAGACCCGAAAUGACAGAGGAGAGAGAAUGAGCACGAAGGAAAGCAAUUAUGUGAAGUGGGUGCCGUGUGCUCAAGGGCAUUUUUUUCAAGCUUCGUCUGAUUUCUCAAAUUUAUCCUUUUACUGAAGUAAAGUUGAUCCGCAAUGUUGUAUUAACUUCUGCUCUACAGCAACGGCCCUCAGUCAUACGUGUCCAUACCCCUGUGUACCCGCUCUUCUGUAUGGUCUCACAGGACACUGAACAGAGUUCCCUGCGCUGUACAUACGACCUUGGUUAAGAAUUGUUUAAACGGGAGGUCCCGUUGUGGCGCAGUGGUAAGCGAAUCCGACUAGGAACCAUGAGGGUGCGGGUUCGAUCCCUGGCCUUGCUCAGUGGAUUAACGAUCCGACAUUGCUGUGAGCUGUGGUGUAGGUUGCAGACGAGGCUCGGAUCCCGUGUUGCUGUGACUCUGGCGUAGGCCAGAGGCUACAGCUCCCAUUCAACCCCUAGCCUGGGAACCUCCAUAUACCGCAGGAGCGGCCCUAGAAGUGGCAAAAAGACAUAAAAAAGGAAUUGUUUAAAUAAGUACAACAGGAGAAAUGGAAGACCUUUUUACCAAGAACAAAACUGAAAUUAUAAAGAUGAAAAAGACCACGUCUGAUUUGGGAACUACGCAGCCUUGGAGUAAGAGCAGCUUCGAUCCCACAGAAAAAUGGAUCAGGAAACACGAAGACGUAGAAAUAGAAUUUAUCCAAAAUAAAGUACAAAGAAAAAGCCUGAGGAGGAAUUCCGGAGCUUCACUGACUGCGUGUCCACAUCAAACAGCCUGAGAGAUAAGAACUGGGGUUGCAGGAGGCAAGAAGAGCAGAGCGAAGAAAAAAACUUUUUUUGUAGAAAUAACAGCUGGAAAAGUCCAAAUUUGACAAAAAUUAUACAUCCACAGGUUAUAAAUCAACAAACCCUAAACAGUAUAUAAACACACACCCCCUAGAACACAUCACAACCAAAUUACAGAGAACCAGUGAUGAGGAGGAAAAGCUUAGCAGCAGCCAGGGGACAAACAUGCCUUAUGCGCAGUGGGGACAGGAUGGUAUCAGUCGGACAGGAACCACUCCGAUAAUUUAAGAAGGAAAAACCUGUACCGCGGGUGCAGCCCUAAAGACAAAAGUCAAAAAAAGAAAAAUCUAAUAUAAGGUACUAUCAGUAAGAGUUCCCGUUGCAGCUCCAUGGGUUAAGAACCCAACAUAGUGUCUGUCCAUGGGGACCCAGGCUCGAUCGCUGGCCUCGCUCGGUGGGUUAAGCACCCAGCGUUGCCACAGGCUGUGGUGCAGGUUGCAGAUGUGGCUCCAAUUCGACCCCUAGCCCAGGAACUUCCACAUGCAUCAGAUGUGGCCCUAAAAAGAAAGGAAAAACUUAAAUAGCGACAGAGCCGCCCACUAAAGUGGAAAGAACGCCAAGUGUCAGAAAUCUGAGGUCUGUGAGGAGCCAGCGGCUCCAGGACUGAGGCCGAGAGUCCAGGGAGGACGAGGCAGGAGAAGCGAGGCAGCUGCGGGCCUCGGAGAGGUCACAGCAUCCCAUCAGGCUUCGGUCGGGACCCGGACUGAAAGGUGCGGCUGGGCUGGCCUGGCUGGCGGCGCUGCGGGGGUGUUUGGGGGUUGGGGUCCCCCAGGCCAGGGCAGCGAGCAGGAAGCCUCCUGCCAGGGUUCCAGGCAGACCCACCGGGAAGCCGCCCCCAGGGGCCCCAGGAGACCAUGUCACUGAGCACCCCGUGGUGCUGGCCGGCAGACCACGGCCAGGAGGAGAGCAGGCUGGACCCGAAGCAGCGGCCGGUCCUCCUGCAGUGCCCCCACCCCCCAGCUCCCCGUCCCAACCACGCUUGAUGUCGCGCCCAGCCGCAAAGCAGAGAGGCAGAGGGUCCCACUGCAAGGCCACAGACGCUGAGAAGCCCCCAGCCAGAGGGAGACAGACGCUGGGGACAGGAGGCAGGCCCGGAGACAGCAAAGGAACUUCCACAAAGAAAGAAAAAUCAAAGCCUGUCAACCUGGACUGACAUCCAGUGAAAACAUCGCCCGCAGUGAAGGCCCCAGAAGCAAUCGGACAGAGGACAGGUGGCCUUUCCUACAAAGGCUGCUGCGGCCCGCGGACCCCCAGCCAAAAGCAGAACCUCCCCGCGUACGUGAAAACCACCCCAUGACGAACCUCGGGGCUGAAUGUAAAACGUGAGACGACAAAACCUUUAGAAAUAGGACGGGAGAAAAGCGGCAGGGGCUUGGGCAGGAAGAGGGUUCCACCACCAGAGGAAAACCCAAUACCGGGGACUUGCCAAUACUAAAGGUGUUUGCUUCUGCAAAAGACCCCACUGUGUGCAAAGGAGGAGAGCACGCACACACUGGGUGGGACCGUCCACAAACCACAUCUGGCAAAGAACCUG
rnacentral:lncRNA from 1 species